rnacentral:rRNA from 1 species
UACAGAGGUCCCAAGCGUUGUUCGGAUUCAUUGGGCGUAAAGGGUGCGUAGGUGGCGUCGUAAGUCGGGUGUGAAAUCUCGGGGCUUAACUCCGAAACUGCAUUCGAUACUGCGGUGCUUGAGGACUGGAGAGGAGACUGGAAUUUACGGUGUAGCAGUGAAAUGCGUAGAGAUCGUAAGGAAGACCAGUGGCGAAGGCGGGUCUCUGGACAGUUCCGUGA